rnacentral:rRNA from 1 species
UGGGGAAUUUUGGACAAUGGGCGAAAGCCUGAUCCAGCAAUGCCGCGUGUGUGAAGAAGGCCUUCGGGUUGUAAAGCGCUUUUGUCCGGAAAGAAAUCCUUGGCUCUAAUACAGUCGGGGGAUGACGGUACCGGAAGAAUAAGCACCGGCUAACUACGUGCCAGCAGCCGCGGUAAUACGUAGGGUGCAAGCGUUAAUCGGAAUUACUGGGCGUAAAGCGUGCGCAGGCGGUUUGCUAAGACCGAUGUGAAAUCCCCGGGCUCAACCUGGGAACUGCAUUGGUGACUGGCAGGCUAGAGUAUGGCAGAGGGGGGUAGAAUUCCACGUGUAGCAGUGAAAUGCGUAGAGAUGUGGAGGAAUACCGAUGGCGAAGGCAGCCCCCUGGGCCAAUACUGACGCUCAUGCACGAAAGCGUGGGGAGCAAACAGGAUUAGAUACCCUGGUAGUCCACGCCCUAAAACGAUGUCAACUAGUUGUUGGGGAUUCAUUUCCUUAGUAACGUAGCUAACGCGUGAAGUUGACCGCCUGGGGAGUACGGUCGCAAGAUUAAAACUCAAAUGAAUUGACGGGGUCAUAGCUGUUUCCU